rnacentral:rRNA from 1 species
AAUGAACGCUGGCGGCGCGCCUAAUACAUGCAAGUCGAGCGAGAAGACGUAGCAAUACGUUUGUAAAGCGGCGAACGGGUGAGGAAUACAUGGGUAACCUACCCUCGAGUGGGGAAUAACUAGCCGAAAGGUUAGCUAAUACCGCGUACGCUUCUUGGACUUCGGUUCAGGGAGGAAAGCGAUACCGUGGGUAUCGCGCUCUUGGAUGGGCUCAUGUCCUAUCAGCUUGUUGGUGAGGUAACGGCUCACCAAGGCUUCGACGGGUAGCUGGUCUGAGAGGACGAUCAGCCACACUGGCACUGCGACACGGGCCAGACUCCUACGGGAGGCAGCAGUAAGGAAUAUUGCGCAAUGGGCGAAAGCCUGACGCAGCGACGCCGCGUGGGGGAUGAAGGUCUUCGGAUU